AUUGAACGCUGGCGGCAUGCUUUACACAUGCAAGUCGAACGGCAGCGCGGGCUUCGGCUUGGCGGCGAGUGGCGAACGGGUGAGUAAUUCAUCGGAACGUGCCCUGUAGUGGGGGAUAGCCCGGCGUAAGCCGGAUUAAUACCGCAUCCGAUCUGAGGUUUAAAGCGGGGGACUGAAAGGCAUCGCGCCAUUUGCGCGGCCGAUGUCGGAUUAGCUAGUUGGUGGGGUAAAGGCUUACCAAGGCGACGAUCCGUAGCUGGUCUGAGAGGACGACCAGCCACACUGGGACUGAGACACGGCCCAGACUCCUACGGGAGGCAGCAGAGGGGAAUUUUGGACAAUGGGGGCAACCCUGAUCCAGCCAUGCCGCGUGCGGGAAGAAGUCCUUCGGGUUGUAAACCGCUUUUGUUCGGGAAGAAAUCCUCUGGGCUAAUACCCCGGGGGGAUGACGGUACCGGAAGAAUAAGCACCGGCUAACUACGUG
rnacentral:rRNA from 1 species